UACGGAGGGGGCUAGCGUUGUUCGGAAUUACUGGGCGUAAAGCGCGCGUAGGCGGCUUUGUAAGUUAGAGGUGAAAGCCCGAAGCUCAACUUGGAAUUGCCUUUAAGACUGCAUCGCUAGAAUCAUGGAGAGGUGAGUGGAAUUCCGAGUGUAGAGGUGAAAUUCGUAGAUAUUAGGAAGAACACCAGUGGCGAAGGCGACUACCUGGCCUGUUCUUGACGCUGAGGCGGCGAAAAGCUAGGGGAGCAAACGGGG
rnacentral:rRNA from 1 species